CCCCAGAUUCGUAUACUGAAGCUCUAACUCCCGGGGCAGGUACUAGGAGCUGGGGCCUUUGAGAGUUGAAUUAGGUCAUGAGGGUGGAGCCGUCAUGUUAGGAUUAGUGCCUGGAUAAAAGGGACCCCACUGAGGUCAUCUCUCUCCCCUAAGCGAGGACACAGCAAGAAGGCGGCUGUCUGCAAACCACGAAGAGAGUCCUUACAGGAACUGAAUCGGCAGCAACUUGAUCUUGGACUUCCCAGCCUCCAGAACUGCCCUGGACGCGACCACUAGCCUACUUUUACCUCUAUGGAUUUGCCUGUUCUGGAUGUUUCGUAUCAACAGAAUCAUGCAAUGUGUGGUCUUUUGUGUCUGGCAUUGUUCCCUUCGCAUCACAUUGUUGAAGAUCAUCCCCAUGGUCGCCUGUAUCAGAACUUCAUUCCUUUGUACUGCUGCAUCACACUCCAUUGAUGGACAGACAGCUUUUAUUUGUCCAUCCAUCCUUUGAGGCUGCCCGGAGCAUCUGGGUGGCUUGAGGCCUUCGUCCUGAGAGGCCUUCGUGAAUGAGAGCAGCAGGGCAGAGCCUCUGUGUGCCGUCCCCAGCAGGAUUCUCCGUGCCUAGAACAGCGCCGGGCGUAGGGUGUGUGCUGAGUCUAUAUGGGCUGAGUAAUGACUGGAUGAAUGGAGGAGCCCAGCUUGAACAGUGAGUGUGUCUGUGCACUCGCUCCUGGAGGGAAGAGGGUGCGUGACAGCUGCCAGGACCACCUUUGGGAGAAAACACUGCAGUGCUCCGGGGGACGACCAUGGGACUUGGAGUGGGGAACCUGGCCAUGGAGCCUUGGCUAUGCUGGCACGUGGACUUGAACUUCGUCACUUACUUAGUGAAAUGAGUUUCCCGUUGCUGCGGUAACAAAUACCCACACACUCAGCGGCUUAAAACAGCAACCUUUAUUAUCUUACAGUUCUGGAGUCAGAUGUCUGCCUUGAGUCUCAGUGGACUAAAAUCAAGGUGUGGACAGGGUUGGGCUCUUUCUGAAGGCUUUGGGAGAGUCUGUUUCUUCGACUUUUCCACCUUAUAGAGGUACCCAUACUCCUUGGCUCAUGGCCCCUUCCUGCAUCUUCAAAGCAGGGUACCAUCUCUCUGAUGCUUUGUCCUUCAUCUCAUCGCUUUCUAAACACAGCCACUAAAGCCUCUCGCUUCUUCAUGGGAUUAGAUUAGGACUACUUGGAUAAUCCAGGUAAUAUUCCAUCUCAAGAUCCUUAACUUUAAUCUUCUCUGCAAAGUCCCUUUUCCAUGUAAGGUACCAUCUUCCCAGAUUCCUGGGAUAAGGAUGUGAACAUCUUUGGGAGGGGAUUAUUCUGUUGAUCACAGAAGCCCGUUGGCCUGAGACCUGGUUUCCCCAUAGGAGAAGGCAGUCCACACAAUUCUAAGAUCUUACCCAACUCUUGGGUCAAGUCACUGAAGUGUGAAAGGACAAUGGCUUCUAACUUAGUGACAGAUUUCUGUCAUUAUAGGAGCAGGUGCCUGGAGCUCACCCCUGUCUGACCAGAUGCUCUCUGAGACUUUUCCACCGCUUUCUUCCGGGUCCCUGUUGCUGGCCUCUGACAGCUUCACCCUUCUGUUUUCACAGGUGAGGGAUGUGAGCUUCAGAGAAGCCAAGUAAUGUUCCCACGGUGACCUGUCUCCAAAGUGGGAGCCCGUCCCAUCCCCCCGACCCGCGUCUGUCUGACUCUGGAGUUGAUGGGGUCCUCCACUAUUACACCGGUGAUUUGGCUGAAAUGCAAGUGCUUUGGGGCAUUUAAAAAUCCAAUGAAUUUUACAUUUUAAAUCGAUCCUUUUAGGAAGCUGGAAAGUGCAACGAAUUUAGUCAUUAAUUUAAAACUUUCGGAAACAAACUUCCUCCAUGAAAGAAAAAAAAAGUGGAGUGUGUUGGGGGAAGGAUUUGUUGAUGUGAUUUUAAUGGUUCAGUCACUGGCUUCCUUAAGUUCUUUGCAGGAGACUGGAGCUGCAGGAAGGGGAGCUACGGAAUGAUGUGCGGCAGCUGGAGCUUCGGAAGCCGGGACAGCUGCUUCCGGGCGUCCACGGCCUCAGUCCGCACGCUCCUCCUGGGGCGGCCGCGCGCAGGUCCUGCCACGUGCUGGAGAAGAUCCCCCCGCCUGCGCGACUUCUCAGAUGCAAAAUGGGGGGCUCACCAAGCCCCCACAGUGUGCGAUGAGCUCUUCUUCUUGACCAAGUCCUUCCCUCCUCCUAGGGCUUCUCUGGGAGUCUUGAAUUAGCCACAAAGCCUGAAGGCCCUGGGAGGGGAGGACGGUGUAUCUUUAUUCAACAAAUGCGUAUUGGACAUGCUGAGAGCUCUGGGGCUGAAAGGGAAACAAGAAGUCCUUCCCGCCCUCCAGGAGCGUCCAGUCCAAGGGGAGAGACCCUCCCACAGGCGGACUGCUGCCGUGUAGCCUGUGACACGCGACCUCGGUUUGUUGAUCUCUUCAUUCAUUCAUCAAGUGCUUCUUGCAAGCGGCUUCUGUGCCAGAAACCGUGGGUGCUCACCAGCGUGGAGUCCACAGGUAGCAGGGAAAAGAGCAGUGAGAUUGUCAAACAUCGCUUGUUGGGUGGUGAGCAGACAUGAACCUGUUGAAUAAUUCUUUGAGAAUCACUGUUGAGAGAAGACACUGCAUCCACUUUGGCCGAAUGAGACUAUUUGAAACUUUAUACUUGAUAAUCACAUUUCAGAUACAGCAAAUAACAGAUACUCUUUGUUUACCCCUGGAUUCAUUGACCAUUGACUGUGCACCGAUUAAGUACCAGAAGCUGGUCUUCACAAGGAACACGGGCGUGAGGGAGACACAGCUCUGGCUCUUGAAAGCUCAUGGAGGGUUGGGGAGAAGACACGUUAUAGCCUGAGAUCAUAAAACCAACACCCACCCACCCAUCAGGCUACAGUGAGCGCCUGGAGCUCUGCCAGUGCUGGUGGUUGAUCUGGGUUCUCUACCCCUUUGGGUACCACCAUGCACUGGAUAGCUGAGUGACUUCUGGUGAUCUCUGUUGUCCCACUGCCUGACAGCGCUACUUAGAGCUGGAGAGGGCUUCAUUUUGUGAGACGGUGGACCUCAGCUCAAACCCAGGUCAUGGGGACUCUUCGAGACCCAUUUUCAUGGGGCAGCACAGCCCCAGGGUCAGGAGGAAAAGAGCCAAUUUCUACUCUUUGAACAGAAUCAACAGGUACAUCCAGGACAUUCUCUUCUUGGAUUUGGCUCUCACUGCAAAGGUGACAUCUUGGAAACUUGGUCCUUUUAGGAAAGCUGGAACAUGCAUGCAAUUAAUGUAUUCAUUCAUUUAAAGGCUUUGGAAACAGACUCUCUCAUUAAAACAAAAAGUGGAAGCGGAAGGGGGAUGGAUGAGGAGGGUGUUAUGGAUUGAAUUAUGCAGCCCCCCCCACCCCCCGCAAAAAGAUAUGCCGAAGUCCUAACUCCAGGUAUUUCAGAAUGUGGCCUUAUUUGGAGAUAGACUCACCGCGGGUGGAAUUCGUUAAACUAAGAUGAAGUCAUAUUGGAGCUGGGUGGACCUCUAACCCAAUAGGACUGGUGCCCUAACAAGAAAAGGAAACAGAGACAGACGCAGAGAGAGAGAGUGCUAUGCGAAGACGCAGACACAGGGAAGGACGCUGUGGGAAGGCAGAGGCCGAGGUGGGAGGGACGCGGCUGCAGGCCCAGGAGCUGAGGGUGGCCGGCCACCACCAGGCAAGGAAGGGGCCUUCCCUGCAGGUUCCAGGGAGCACAGUCCUGUCGACUCCUUGAUUUCAGAGAUCUGGCCUCCAGAACUUUGAGAUGACAAAUUUCUGUUCCUUUAGGCUGCCCAGUCUGUGCUCCUUCAUCAUGGCAGCCCCAGGACAGUAACAGAAAGGGGACCCAGCCAUCGCCACCCGGCCCUGACAGCCUGCGGGGGCGAGGUGCAGCUCUGGUGGUCCUGACUACCGUUUAUGUUGGUUUCUUCUCCCUUUACGCUUGGGAGCCAGAGCCCCGCUCCUCUGCACACGAGAGAAUUCUCGGGCCUGCCCAGGACCUGGGGCCCGGGAAGGAAGGCUCUUUCCAGAGUCAGAGCUGGUCUCAACUCUCCACUCACCCUGUGUGCCUGCCCACCCCCUCCAGCAACAGGUCUUCCCCAGGCGCUGGGGGCCCUAACGUGUAGACCUGAGCGCAUCAGCACGUCCUGCCUCUGGGCUGAGCGUUCCCAUCUGUCUGCGGAAGAACAGAGGUAAACUGAGUCCAGGCCGGCUGGGCCCGUGCUCCGAGCUCUCCACUCUCUCCCCCUGGCCUCCCUCCUGCUCCUCCCUGUGCACCUGCCCCACGCCCGCUGGGGCCAUGCCUUCCUGUCCCCUCUCCCCUGGGCUUCGAGGUGCCUCCUCCCCUCUUUUCUUAACAAGUUUGCAGGGGACCAAGGCCACAUCACAGGGACCAACUUCCUGCUUCUGUCUGAGGCUACAUGACGUCCGCUCAUUUCCAGAAACGAGCCUCUUACCUGUUUUCCCACGAAGACCAUGGGCGUCUUGCCUCUGCAGCUGCGGUCCUGUGCGAAGGGGCCAUGCCUGGGUGAUGUCUGGAGCCCCUCAGGCCAGGGAGUCCACAGUGCAAACCUGGUCCUUCCCAAGGGUCUUCACUGCUCCCUUGGAGGGGCAGACAGCUGAAUAUGAUAUUUAUCUCCUGCAAAAGAAGACAUCACCUAUGAAAGCACAAUGCUACUAUACAACUUUGAUAGAAUAAUUUUAAUUACUACGCAGUCUAUACUCAGAUGUACCUGU